rnacentral:tRNA from 1 species
GCAGCCGUAGCUCAGCUGGUUAGAGCGCCUGACUGUGGAUCAGGAGGUCGCAGGUUCGAAUCCCGCCGGCUGUA